UGGCAUCAUCCUGGGUAACUGUGAGUCUGGCAUACACAGACAGUGUUGGUCCUUGGAUAAGGAGAGAGUACCUUUUGGCUGUGUGUAUGUGACACAGUUGGUAUCAGUUGGCCUGAGGCUCAGGAGACAGCUCCUUUUACUGGAUGGCAGAAAUAUAGGCUGUGUUCAGCGCUCCAGACUGAAGAUGGAACAGAGACAGCUACUAUCGUGCCAUGUUGUCAUCCUAGACCAGGACCCGGAGCACACAAAUGCACCUGAGCUGGUUCCUCCAACAGCUGUUUAAGAAUACAGACAGUAAAUAAAUGUCCUUGAAUUUGGCAUAGCGAACACUGAACUGGAGUCAGUGAGUCUGGCUGGAUUCAAGCUCAGUUGUUUCUGGUCCGUGUUGUCCAAGGAAUUUUAUAUCACCUGAAUUGUUGGAAAGGCACAUAAUUCAAGUUCAUCAGUGUUUUGGAUAAUGGAUAGUUAGCUUUAUUUUCCUUGAGAUACAUUAUAUUUUAGAAGGCAUGACUCACUCAU